CUUUAUCGGAGAGUUUGAUCCUGGCUCAGGACGAACGCUGGCGGCGUGCCUAAUACAUGCAAGUCGAGCGGACAGAUGGGAGCUUGCUC
rnacentral:rRNA from 1 species